UGACAUGGCUCUUACAUUGCAAUGGCAUGGCAAAACGAAUGAUGUGCCUAGUUUUGUGGCUAGAUAGAUGAUGGUGUGGCAGGAUGUUAUAGGUGGUCAAAGACGAUAUGUCUUAUCUAUAUUGAUCCAGUAAAAUGACAUGUUGGUUAUUAUGAUUGUUUUAUAUAAUAGGCAAUGAGAAGAUACAUAGAAAAGUACAAUUGUAGUGAGGGCCAAUGAUUGGAGAGAAGAUGUGCUGAAGGCCGAUGAUCCUCGUAGAUAAAGCCUUCACAAAGAAAAAAAAAGGGCCUUAAACUACACGGUGCAGAAGCUGGAAGGUAGUUGGUGAAACUGACAAUAGAGAGAAACUGCUUAGAGAUGAUGAGGCGAGACAAUGAAAGAUCUAAAAUGAAGGAGAAAGGUAGUAGAAAGGAGUAUGGAUUAUUUAGAAAGCAAUGGAUUUUUGGGUGUUAAUCUAUCGAAAAUAGAGGAUCUGCAAAUCUACUAAAGAACAUGGGAUUUUGGAUGUUGAUUUACUAAGAACUAAGGAUCUACGAAUCCACCAAAAAAUAGAGGAUCUUUAGGUGGUUAUUCACUAUGAUAGAUUGGCAAUAGGAGUCUUCAAUACUUCUAGACACAGCAAUGACAGCCAUAAUAGAAGUAGAGGAGAUGACGGCAUCAUAUUAGGUGAUCGAUGUCUCUCAUACUAUAUUUAAAGUAUUUGUAGA
rnacentral:lncRNA from 1 species